rnacentral:ncRNA from 1 species
AAAACGAAAUGUUAAAUUUUGAAAAAAACUUAAAAAAUCCCCAAAAAAGAGAAAAAUGCAAUAAAACAUCGGUUAAUCAGGCCAACAACUAACUUUAAAUGCCUCAACAAGCAGACGACUUGAUUACUGGUCAAGGUGUUGUAAGCAGUAGAGCAGCCUCCAUACUGCGAUCUGUUGAGACUUAUCCUUUGAUUGGACGAUUUGU